rnacentral:lncRNA from 1 species
GGAGAACAGUAUGUGCAAAGCUGAAUAAAGGGCUGCUGCUAGACUUUCUGCACAAGGAAAGCAUUUAGGCAAAGUAACCUGAUUGAAGUUGAUUCAGUCGGCAUCAGGAACCACUGAAGAUUCUUAAGGAGAUUGCUAAAUUACUAAAUUACCCACAGUCAGCUCAAAUUUGCAAUCCUCCUACCUCUACCUCUCUGAAUGUUGGGGUUACGGUACCACCACACCUGAUGAAAAGAAAACUUGAAAAGCAAAAGACCCUGCAACCACCAAAAUGUUUCUUCAGUAAGAGCUACACAGGUUUCAGUGGCAAAAAAGUAGACACUGCAGUGAUGAGGCACUAUCUGGAGCCUUUGGCAUGAAGCUUGUAAGACAGCUGCCAGGGCCGAACCCAC